AACGAACGCUGGCGGCAGGCUUAACACAUGCAAGUCGAGCGCCCCGCCAGGGGAGCGGCAGACGGGUGAGUAACGCGUGGGAACGUACCUUUUGGUUCGGAACAACUCCGGGAAACUGGAGCUAAUACCGGAUAAGCCCUAACGGGGAAAGAUUUAUCGCCGAAAGAUCGGCCCGCGUCUGAUUAGCUAGUUGGUGAGGUAACGGCUCACCAAGGCGACGAUCAGUAGCUGGUCUGAGAGGAUGAUCAGCCACACUGGGACUGAGACACGGCCCAGACUCCUACGGGAGGCGGCAGUGGGGAAUAUUGGACAAUGGCCGCAAGCCUGAUCCAGCCAUGCCGCGUGAGUGAUGAAGGCCUUAGGGUUGUAAAGCUCUUUUGUCCGGGAAGAUAAUGACUGUACCGGAAGAAUAAGCCCCGGCUAACUUCGUG
rnacentral:rRNA from 1 species